rnacentral:snoRNA from 1 species
UGCACUUAUGUAUGUUUUUGUUUAACUUGUGGACAAAGACUUACGGACAGGUGCAAAAACUAAAUCCUGUUUACAACCCAGAACUCAUUGUUCAGUGUGAGUUUUGAUACAUAUAAGAAGGGAUGUU